rnacentral:tRNA from 1 species
GCCUAGCUGGCUCAGUCAGUGGAGUGAGUGACUCUUAAUCUCAGGGUUGUAGGUUUGAGUCCCACAUUGGGUG